rnacentral:tRNA from 3 species
GCGGGAGUAAUUCAGUGGUAGAAUGCCUCCUUGCCAAGGAGGAUGUCGCGAGUUCGAGCCUCGUCUCCCGCUCCA